GCAGUGGGCUGGGCAAGAUGAAGAGAAGCCCAUGCGUUCGGAAAACGCCAGCCCUGAUCCUAAUUCUUAGGUUUAAGGCUGCAUCCUUUUCGAUUCCAAUCAGGAGUAAAACCAGGAGUAAUGUUCUGCAGUGUGUGCUCAGCAUCAGCUAACAGGUUUCUGACUGUGUGAUAUUGAUGAUAUUGAUGAUAUUGAUUGUUUCUGUAAAUGAUUAGUUUGUUCCACUGUAAAGAACAGAGACUGUCUGGUAGAUCUCAGUCUCUCACACACAACACACACACAGUCAGUGUAGAAACACCGUAAAGACCCCGACACACUGACACCCCGACUAGCAGCAGCUCAGCUGUGUCUGAUUUCAUCUUCAUCUGAUUUCAGAGUGUCUGUAGCAGCUAUAAGGCAGCAUGUUCACCAUUCAGCUCCUGAUAGAAGUGUGGAUGAGUUUCUCACAGAGCUCACAGCUCACUAACACACACACAGUGCUCAGUUCUUUCAGUGGAAUAAGAGCUUUCAUACAGACAUGGAUUUUAAAGUGUAUUGACUGUUACUGUUUUAAAGGAAACUCUGACUGAUAAGACUUAUAUGCCUUAUAACAGUGUAAUAACGUCCAACACUGUUAUGAUGUACAAACCAAAGAAAAUGUUUUAUUUAUAAUAACAUAAAGAGAGAAAAUCUCUCUAGUACUAGUUCACCAUUGAGGCCCUGUGAUGAAGUCGCACUGGUCAUCUGGAAAAUAAGAUAAUUAAAAGUUACUCUUCUGGGUAAUUAAGGUUCUAGAUAAAGCUGGAAAGGUUCAGUUAGAUCUUUAGCUGAUUCCUAUUAGAGGGAUUUUCUCUAUUUUAACAGUAAAUAAUGUUUCGUUAAGUACUGGACAUCUAUACCCCACACUGAGGCCUGAAUAUCAGUCAGGGUUUGAUUUAAAUUUUUACAUCACCUUUAUUGUUAUUACUUUUAUUAGUUACUACUUUCUGUACUUAUAUUACUUAUUUACUAUUAUUACUAUUAUUACUUAUUUACCUGUAUUACUUUUAUUACUAUAUUACUUUCUUUAUUGAUAAUAGAGCUGCAAACUAACACAAAGCUCAUCCAGAUUACAGCUUUUUACUGCAUGUGUGAUUGUUAACAUUAGUAAUAGUAGGAGAAGUAAAGGUUUUGCCAGUAGUAUUGUGUCUUCUAUUGUCUGCUCAUCUUCUAUAUUGUCUGCAAAUAAGAGUUAAAUCAACAGAUGUAAAAUAUUUCCGGUCUUAUUUUGAAUGUGCUAUCACAAACAUCACUCAGAAUACGUGAACUGGCCAAUGAGACAGUGGGCAGUACAGAUAUUAAUGGUGUGUGAAAUAUGUUUGAGAAGUAGCAGUUUUAGUUCAGUCUGGCUGAUGUUCUUCUCUUCAGGAACCCAGUUAGGAAACAGAAGAGCAGCUUCAUUGUCUCUUUUUUUGUAUAGUUAAUUGCAUUUAUAAUUUGCUGCAAGUGCCUGAAAUUAUAACAAUGCAAGUCUCCUGGGUAAAUAAAGGCUUUUUGAAAGCUUAAA